ACGGUACCGGAAUAAGAAGCACCGGCUAACUACGUGCCAGCAGCCGCGGUAAUACGUAGGGUGCGAGCGUUAAUCGGAAUUACUGGGCGUAAAGCGUGCGCAGGCGGUUUGGUAAGUCAGAUGUGAAAUCCCCGGGCUCAACCUGGGAACUGCAUUUGAGACUGCCAAGCUGGAGUUUGGCAGAGGGGGGUGGAAUUCCACGUGUAGCAGUGAAAUGCGUAGAGAUGUGGAGGAACACCGAUGGCGAAGGCAGCCCCCUGGGCCAAUACUGACGCUCAUGCACGAAAGCGUGGGGAGCAAACAGGAUUAGAUACCCUGGUAGUCCACGCCCUAAACGAUGUCAACUAGGUGUUGGGAGGGUUAAACCUUUUAGUGCCGUAGCUAACGCGUGAAGUUGACCGCCUGGGGAGUACGGCCGCAAGGCUAAAACUCAAAGGAAUUGACGGGGACCCGCACAAGCGGUGGAUGAUGUGGAUUAAUUCGAUGCAACGCGAAAAACCUUACCUACCCUUGACAUGUCAGGAAUCCUGGAGAGAUCUGGGAGUGCUCGCAAG
rnacentral:rRNA from 1 species